UACGGAGGGUGCGAGCGUUGUCCGGAAUCACCGGGCGUAAAGGGCGCGUAGGCGGCGCGGGAAGUCCGUGGUGAAAGCCCGAGGCUCAACUUCGGGUCGGCCAUGGAUACUCCUGGGCUCGAGCACUGUAGAGGCAGGUGGAAUUCCGGGUGUAGCGGUGAAAUGCGUAGAGAUCAUGAGGAAGACCAGUGGCGAAGGCGGGUCUCUGGACAGUUCCUGACACUGAGACACGAAGGCCAGGGGAGCAAACGGG
rnacentral:rRNA from 1 species